rnacentral:rRNA from 1 species
GACGAACGCUGGCGGCGUGCCUAAUACAUGCAAGUCGAGCGAAGUUUUUCUGGUGCUUGCCCUAGAAAAACUUAGCGGCGAACGGGUGAGUAACACGUAAAGAACCUGCCUCAUAGACUGGGACAACUAUUGGAAACGAUAGCUAAUACCGGAUAACAGUAUUUCUCGCAUGAGAGAUAUUUAAAAGUUGGUUAUGCUAACACUAUGAGAUGGCUUUGCGGUGCAUUAGCUAGUUGGUGGGGUAAAGGCCCACCAAGGCGACGAUGCAUAGCCGACCUGAGAGGGUAAUCGGCCACACUGGGACUGAGACACGGCCCAGACUCCUACGGGAGGCAGCAGUAGGGAAUCUUCCGCAAUGGGCGAAAGCCUGACGGAGCAACGCCGCGUGAGUGAAGAAGGAUUUCGGUUCGUAAAGCUCUGUUGUUAGGGAAGAAUGGAUAUGUAGUAACUAUACAUGUAAGAGACGGUACCUAACCAGAAAGCCACGGCUAACUACGUG